UACGAAGGGGACUAGCGUUGUUCGGAUUUACUGGGCGUAAAGCGUGCGCAGGCGGUGAUGUAAGACAGUUGUGAAAUCCCCGGGCUCAACCUGGGAACUGCAUCUGUGACUGCAUCGCUGGAGUGCGGCAGAGGGGGAUGGAAUUCCGCGUGUAGCAGUGAAAUGCGUAGAUAUGCGGAGGAACACCGAUGGCGAAGGCAAUCCCCUGGGCCUGCACUGACGCUCAUGCACGAAAGCGUGGGGAGCAAACAGG
rnacentral:rRNA from 1 species